rnacentral:rRNA from 1 species
GACGAACGCUGGCGGCGCGCCUAACACAUGCAAGUCGAACGGAGUUACUCUGAAUGAAGUUUUCGGAUGGAUUUUGGAUUAACUUAGUGGCGAAACGGGUGAGUAACGCGUGAGUAACCUGCCCUGGAGUGGGGGACGAACAGUUGGAAACGACUGCUAAUACCGCAUAAGCCCACAGUGCCGCAUGGCACAGCGGGAAAAGGAUUUAUUCGCUUCAGGAUGGACUCGCGUCCAAUUAGCUAGUUGGCAGGGUAACGGCCUACCAAGGCGACGAUCCAUAGCCGGCCUGAGAGGGUGGACGGGCCACAUUGGGACUGAGACACGGCCCAGACUCCUACGGGAGGCAGCAGUGGGGAAUAUUGCACAAUGGGGGAAAACCCUGAUGCAGCGACGCCGCGUGAGCGAAGAAGUAUUUCGGUAUGUAAAGCUCUAUCAGCAGGGAAGAAAAUGACGGUACCUGACUAAGAAGCCCCGG